rnacentral:misc_RNA from 1 species
GAUGAAGAACGUAGCGAAAUGCGAUAAGUAGUGUGAAUUGCAGAAUUCAGUGAAUCAUCGAAUCUUUGAACGCACAUUGCGCCCCUUGGUAUCCCGAGGGGCAUGCCUGUUCGAGCGUCAUUUCACCACUCAAGCCUGGCUUGGUGUUGGGCGACGUCCUCUUUGGGGACGCGCCUCGAAACGCUCGGCGGCGUGGCACCGGCUUUAAGCGUAGCAGAAUCUUUCGCUUUGGAAGUCGGGGCCCCGUCUGCCGGAAGACCUGCUCGCAAGGUUGACCUCGGAUCAGGCAGGGAUACCCGCUGAACUUAAGCAUAUCAACAAGCGGAGGA